ensembl:lncRNA novel transcript
AUCUAGGGCAGAGGGAUUGUCUGCACUAGGACAGCUCUGUUAAAAAGGAGGACUUUUUUGUUUAUGGGAAGAUUUCCAUAAAGAUGAUCUUCUGAGUGAAGGCUGGGCUUUAAGACGAAAUGAGAGACAGUGUUGGUGGAAGAAGAGAACUUAAGGCCAGAAGUUGUGUGUGUGUGUGUGUGUGUGUGUGUAUAAUUAUGCCUGAAUAUGUUUUAUUUAUUAUAGUCUAUGUGUGAUUUUGUAUUUGAAAGUAGAUGCUUGAUUCUACCACAAUUAAAAAAAGGAUAUGCUUGGAUUUGUCUGUAGUAUGUGGGUGUGGAGGAGUUCAUUUGAACACGGGCAUUUUUGUGUGUCCAGGACGUAUCAACAGCCUCCUUAGAGGUGUCAUAUGUGCAGGGAAUACUGAAGAGAGUGCAUUAGUCUACAUGUCUCUCUAUAUAUUUUUUCUUUUUGUGUGUGUCUGGUUUUCCUAGAUUUCUCUCUUGCAUGUUUGUGGGUAUGAGAGUCUGUUAGUAUUAAUAUGUGAAUGGGUGUGUGCUAUUUGUCUGGGGAGGAUGAUUUAGGCAAGGAUUUGAAAGUGUGCAUUUAGAAAUUGAGGGCAUCUCUGUGUUAUUAUGAGUGUAUGUGUGUUUGUGUGUGCAUUUUAGAGUGGUUGGUUAUCUGUGUGUAUUUGCAAGGAGAAGGGGAAUUCAGUGUGUUUCUGUGUUUGUGUGUUUGUUUGUGAAUGGUAUGUUUUGCAGAGGAGUGUACUUUUUAUGUUCGAAAGUUAGGCAAUCAUGUAAUUUAUCAUCCAAAUGGGGAUACAUUUGAGAAUGAAAUAUAUAUGUGUGUGAAAGGAUGUCUUUGAAUGUACUUUUAAAAAUGCAUUUAAUUUUGUGUGUGUUAUUGGUGUCAGGAAUUAAGAAAAAGAAGAGAAGUACAGGAGAUAUCAUUAAAUUAUAUAGUUCUCUCUUCGACUGUAGCCUUAUAACAGGGACAUUAAUAGAAUUAACAGGUGGAAUCUAAUUGUCUCCCUUGGAAUCUGGGAUGGCUGUCCUACUUAUUUGACCAACAGAAUUUGUCAGAAGGGACUUUCUGUAACUUCUGAAGCUGUCUCAUAAGAAGCCUUGCAGAUUCUGCUCAUGUCUCUUUCCUCUCUGGGAAACAAGUCGCGACUCAGGGAUAAGCCUGAGACACAUGGAGAGAACAUCCUGAUCAAUCUGGUCUUUGCUGCUACCCUGGUCAACAGCCUGAGCUGGAUACCUGGCUGACAAGUACCACCUUUUUCCUACACAGAUGACAACCCAGCCCAUGAGCACCAGCUCAUUGACCAGAAUUAGCAACAUGGCCCUUCCUAACUAGAAGGGACCAGAAUGGAUAGUCCUUCUAUGUGUCCAGAAGGAGAGAAGGACCAGAUAUGUGUGAUCAUGUCUCCAUUAUGGGAGAAAAGAGAAUUGAAAAAGAAAGAAGAUCCACAUAGUGUCUGAGGAGCUGAGACAAAAGAAAAAUGCCACUGCUACUCCUUCACUUGCUCAUUCUGCAAAAGUUUGUAGAUCUUCUGCAAGGAGAACGGCAUUGUUAACUACCUACAGGAAGUGGUGUUGAUUUCCAAGAAAGAUCUUGUUCUUCAAACUCUGUUACAGCGUCUUCUCUGGAGAAGUCAACAGUGAGAUGGGCUAAAUGAAGAAGGAGCAGCUUAUUGUCUUUGUUGGUUUUCUUUAUUUUCCUUCGAAGCAUCUGGGGGAAGAGGAAGACAAUGGAUGAGAUGGCGUAUGUUCUUUCCGCCCUGUGAAUGAAUCAGAUUUGAACUCCUAAGCAAAAUAGAAAAUGCAGAAAUGGUGCUCAGGCAAAACCUGAGAGACACCGGGCUCAAGCGACUCUCCUCUGAAGUCCAUCUGAUAAAGUCUGAAUUAUGGAUAAGUCCUUUCCCCCUCAAUAGUCUACUGCUUACUAAAGUGUAGCUCAAUGACUCUGUGGGCUUGGGUAAUCAGCAGGUAAGCAUAGCUAUGCCCAAUGAAGCAGGGGCUGUGAGAAGAAGCCUUGAAGAGUACCUAAAGUAGAAAAUAAGUGAACUUUCUCCUAAGCCCAUAGGAAACAUCACUAUCCUGCUGAAGGCAGGGCAGAGGGAACACAGCAGAGUAGGCUCAGAAUAACUGGGAUUUGGGCACUGAUAUUAAUGUCACCAUAUCUACACUUAUUGAUUGUUGAGAUUAUACAUUUGGCUUGAAACCACAGGAACUAAUAUACUCUAAAUAUAAGCUGAGAAAAAUUAAAAAUAACCACAACUACAACAGUAGAAAGAGAAAAUAUAUGAAUGCCAAGAAUCUAAUGUGUAAAUUAACUACAAGGGUUUAGAAGUUUUGGGCAUCUCCCUGGGGAUUAGCUGUGCUCAGUCUCCCCUCCAGGAAAUCAUUUACAACUCUAUGUCUGUUACCCCAAAAUGACUUAAAUGAAGUUUAGGAUAAGACAGAGACAAGUUCAGAACAAGACAUGGGUGAGGUUCAGAAGAAUGAAAUUGAAAUUAUAUGAAUUUCCAAUUGUUAGAGAUGCAUGAGUGAGAUACAGGUUUUCAAGUGUUGUGAUGUCAUACCAUAAAAUGAUUAUAAACAUUUAGGAAACAAUCUCUCCUGUGGAAUCAGGAAUCAUUACUAAAUAUCACAAUUAUAGUGGAGACGCUGAAGAAGUCAAUAUAUGUGUUCUGAAAAACUUGAUUAAAUAAACU